AAUGGGCACAGCUAUAAUCGUUGCAAGAAACUCAUGCUGACGGUAGCUUUCUGCUAAGAAAUGAGCGAAAAGCAAAACGAAAAAGUUUGUUAGAAGUUAAUCUGCUUCUAGUUAUUUUGUUUUAAUUUAUUAUUCAUUUAAUUAAUUUGUUAUUUAUUCAUCAUCCAUUGGAUAGUCUUCAUGUCAUCAUCAUCGACAAAUAGGCUAUUAGCUACAUUAGUUGCGGAUAUUUUGGGGAGAAUAUCGAAAUUUAACAGACGAAUAUUUUUAGACUCAAAAUAUGAUUUCUCGCUUUCUCCCUCUUUCUUUCUUUCUUUCUUUCUUUUUAGCAUACAUAAAUAUUUGCUCGUCAAUAAGCUUUAUAGAAAAGGAGGGCAUGCAGGUGUAUUUUUGACAAGCAUCAAGUGAACAUAGUUAACUGUUAAGUUUUUUUUUUUUUUUUUUUGUAACAUGGCAUUUAAGGUGAUUUUUUUUAAAUUAAACUAUGCGCGUUAAUACUACUAGGAUAUUAAUGUAUUCUUUAAAGCGAUUAUCACAGUGUAAAAUAAUAAUAAUAAUAAAUUACAAAUCCGUGCAAUAAGCAUAUAACUGCAUGAUCUUGAGCACGCAUCGCGUGUAACCCGCGUAUUGGUCAGAAGUGGAUUCGACAAUGUUUCCUGGCUUUAUUAAGGGGUCUGUCUUAAGUAAGAAAGCGUAAAGUAGUCUAGUAUAAACGACUUUCCCUCGUGUUUUUACAGUUAACUGCACAUAGGCUACUGGAUAUAAUUUGCAACAAGAGCGACAGUUAGCCUAGUCAUUACUAAUAAAUGAGAGAUAAUUGAGGGUAACAAAAAUAAAACGGACUAACAAAGAAAUCUACCGUAUAGCCAAUAUGUGGAUCUAUGUUUUCAAAACUGUUGCUAUUAUAGUGCGUGUAGUAGCCUAUACUACAUUUUAUUUCCCCAAAACAGAAAUGUGUGUAGUCUGUCUAACGUGUCUACAAAAAUAAAAAAGGGACACAAGGCUCCUGUAUAAUUUAAAGAUUAGUAUUUGGCCUAUUUAUCUAUCAAUAUUUGAUUACAAUUUAAACUCGUUGUAUCAAUCAGUCUGCUUAUAAAAAUAUGACGACAGUCGUAGAUUUAUAUUAAUGGAAGCUUUGAGAGAAAAAAAUUAAUACAUAAUCAAAUAGAAUUAACAUGAUAAAUUACAUUAAGACAGUAUGAAUGGUAGCCUAUGUUCACGUGGAGUUAUCGCUCGUGUCUCCUGAUAAAUUAUUUGUUUCUGCUGGAGAGCGCCACAAAGCAUUUCACCGCCAGAUGUCGCCACGUGUUUCGGAGACGCAUCACGGUGACUCAAAUUUCCUUUUCUCACUUCAAAUGAAUUUCUAGAGAACGAAUGGCUGAGGCAAUAUUUCGAAAUGGCUUGAAAUACCAUUUAGAAUACAGUUUAUUGUUGUAUUUGCUGUCUUACACGUUUAGAUGAAUUGGCCACAAGGUAUGUGUCCAACACGAAAAAAAAAGCCAAGCAGUUGAAAAGGGGGAGGGAAAAACUAAAGUUUAUUAACACUAUAAAACAUUUGUAAAUGCCCACCGUUUCAUGUAAAUUCCCCGUUAAUCGAAGAAUGUGCACUGCAUUAUUCGGCACAGCUGAACAAUAGAAAGAAAACAUGAAUGUCUUUGUAUUGAAUCACCUUGAAAUGAGCCUUCCUCCUCUCUCUUAUUCCCUCUCCACCCUCUCUGUCAUACGUCUAACUCACUUAAACAAAAAGUCUCUCCAUAUAUUUUAGGACCUAUUUUAUAUAUAUCCUAUCUAUCAAUGAUUAUGAAAGAACCAAGAGAGAUAUAAUUGAGAGGAGAAACAGAAAUAAGCCAUAGCCUAUGCUCGUUUAGACGCUUUAGACGUUCGGUUUUCUCGUUCUCAUAAUCUACACGCGUAAUUAAAGAGGCUGGAAUACAGAUGACCAUUAAGACAACGCAGCAGAUCACACAUGUGCUACACAACUUCGGACCGUGAAGUCGUCAAGACGAGGACAUGAAGAGUCCAAGGCUGAAAAAAAAAAGUAAACAUAACUUGUGAAGUGAGCAGGAGGAAACUGGCUUCAGUGGCUAUCAAAUGAUAAACCAACAGAAGUGAUGCCCACGAGGACGUGCGGUGCUCUUUGAUGUGAGAAAGGAAGGUUGAGAGCACUCUCUCCAGCACAUGCCACCCUCAUUAGUGUCCAGCAGCUGAAGACGCGAGGUCACAAACCCAAUGAGUUGCCCAUUUCAUUCAGCUUUGCCGACAGGGAAGGAUGACCACUAUGACCAAAUGUUGCGCUGUGGUCUGACAGCACAUUGUGUUCAACAAACAAAGUGGCUUGAAUAACCCUUGAACUUUGUGUGGAGUGCAUUAUUUUUUCAACAUUUUCAACUUUUCAACAUUCUUGUAGAUGUUAUCCAUUCAAUAAACUGUGAAUUUUUCUAAAAAAGGGAA